rnacentral:rRNA from 1 species
AGGGUUCGAUUCUGGCUCAGGAUGAACGCUGGCGGCGUGCCUAACACAUGCAAGUCGAGCGGAGAUGUUGAGAGAUUCUUCGGAUGAUCUCUUCAUCUUAGCGGCGGAUGGGUGAGUAACACGUGGGUAACCUGCCCUGCACAGGGGGAUAACAGCUGGAAACGGCUGUUAAUACCGCAUAUGCACACGCUGCCGCAUGGCAGAGGGUGGAAAGAUUUAUCGGUGCAGGAUGGGCCCGCGUCGGAUUAACUAGUUGGCAGGGUAACGGCCUACCAAGGUUAUGAUCCGUAGCCGACCUGAGAGGGUGACCGGCCACAUUGGGACUGAGACACGGCCCAAACUCCUACGGGAGGCAGCAGUGGGGGAUAUUGCACAAUGGGCGGAAGCCUGAAUGCAGCGACGCCGCGUGAAGGAAGAAGUAUUUCGGUAUGUAAACUUCUAUCAGCGGGGAAGAAGAUGACGGUACCCGACUAAGAAGCCCCGGCUAACUACGUGCCAGCCGCUGC